GACGAACGCUGGCGGCGUGCCUAAUACAUGCAAGUCGAGCGAAUCGAUGGGAGCUUGCUCCCUGAGAUUAGCGGCGGACGGGUGAGUAACACGUGGGCAACCUGCCUAUAAGACUGGGAUAACUUCGGGAAACCGGAGCUAAUACCGGAUACGUUCUUUUCUCGCAUGAGAGAAGAUGGAAAGACGGUUUACGCUGUCACUUAUAGAUGGGCCCGCGGCGCAUUAGCUAGUUGGUGAGGUAAUGGCUCACCAAGGCGACGAUGCGUAGCCGACCUGAGAGGGUGAUCGGCCACACUGGGACUGAGACACGGCCCAGACUCCUACGGGAGGCAGCAGUAGGGAAUCUUCCGCAAUGGACGAAAGUCUGACGGAGCAACGCCGCGUGAACGAAGAAGGCCUUCGGGUCGUAAAGUUCUGUUGUUAGGGAAGAACAAGUACCAGAGUAACUGCUGGUACCUUGACGGUACCUAACCAGAAAGCCACGGCUAACUACGUGCCAGCCGCCGCUGUAAAAC
rnacentral:rRNA from 1 species